rnacentral:rRNA from 1 species
AUGCACGCUGGCGGCGUGCCUCAUUCAUGCAAGUCGAGCGAACAGACGAGGAGCUUGCUCCUCUGACGUUAGCGGCGGACGGGUGAGUAACACGUGGAUAACCUACCUAUAAGACUGGGAUAACUUCGGGAAACCGGAGCUAAUACCGGAUAAUAUAUUGAACCGCAUGGUUCAAUAGUGAAAGACGGUUUUGCUGUCACUUAUAGAUGGAUCCGCGCCGCAUUAACUAGUUGGUAAGGUAACGGCUUACCAAGGCAACGAUGCGUAGCCGACCUGAGAGGGUGAUCGGCCACACUGGAACUGAGACACGGUCCAGACUCCUACGGGAGGCAGCAGUAGGGAAUCUUCCGCAAUGGGCGAAAGCUUGACGGAGCAACGCCGCGUGAGUGAUGAAGGUCUUCGGAUCGUAAAACUCUGUUAUUAGGGAAGAACAAAUGUGUAAGUAACUAUGCACGUCUUGACGGUACCUAAUCAGAAAGCCACGGCUAACUACGUG